rnacentral:rRNA from 1 species
CCUACGGGAGACAGCAGUGAGGAAUAUUGGUCAAUGGGCGCGAGCCUGAACCAGCCAAGUCGCGUGAGGGAAGACGGUCCUAUGGAUUGUAAACCUCUUUUGUAGGGGAGCAAAAGACGCCACGCGUGGCGUUCCGUGAGUCCCCGAAGAAAACGCAUCGGCUAACUCCGUGCCAGCAGCCGCGGUAAUACGGAGGAUGCGAGCGUUACCCGGAUUUAUUGGGUUUAAGGGGUGCGCAGGCGGAAGGUCAAGUCAGCGGUAAAGUUGAGGGGCUCAACCUCUUCGAGCCGUUGAAACUGGUUUUCUUGAGUGAGCGAGAGGUAUGCGGAAUGCGUGGUGUAGCGGUGAAAUGCAUAGAUAUCACGCAGAACUCCGAUUGCGAAGGCAGCAUACCGGCGCUCAACUGACGUUCAUGCACGAAAGUGUGGGUAUCGAACAGGAUUAGAUACCCGAGUAGUC